AGUGAACGCUGGCGGUAGGCCUAACACAUGCAAGUCGAACGGCAGCACAGUAAGAGCUUGCUCUUACGGGUGGCGAGUGGCGGACGGGUGAGGAAUACAUCGGAAUCUACUUUUUCGUGGGGGAUAACGUAGGGAAACUUACGCUAAUACCGCAUACGACCUACGGGUGAAAGCAGGGGAUCUUCGGACCUUGCGCGAUUGAAUGAGCCGAUGUCGGAUUAGCUAGUUGGCGGGUAAAGGCCCACCAAGGCGACGAUCCGUAGCUGGUCUGAGAGGAUGAUCCGACACACUGGAACUGAGACACGGUCCAGACUCCUACGGGAGGCAGCAGUGGGGAAUAUUGGACAAUGGGCGCAAGCCUGAUACAGCCAUACCGCGUGGGUGCAGAAGGACUUAGGGUUGUAAAGCCCUUUUGUUGGGAAAGAAAAGCAGCAGGUUAACCCCCCGCUGUUAUGACGGUACCCAAAGAAUAAGCACCGGCUAACUUCGUG
rnacentral:rRNA from 1 species